UGCAUCGAUCAUACCACGGUGAAUAUACCCGUUCCCAUCAGCACACGGAAGUCAAGCACCGUUGGGCGGGAUUAGUACUCUGGUCGGGGACGAACGACAGGGGAACCCCUUGUGUCGAUGUGU